CAGGUGGCAGUCCCAGGACCUGGGAGAGAAAGGAACUAACAUUUAUUCAAUCAGUCUGCCUUUGUUAAAUUAUCUCUAUGCCUCCGUUUCCUCAUUUGUAAAAUGAAAGAUCUGUUCACAAUUCAUAAGAGAAGUGAGGAUUAAAUGAGACCAUGUAUAAAGUUGUUGAGAGUACUUUCUUACCCCGUAGUACUUCAUAAUAUUAGUUGUUACUGUUUUAAUUCUUAACCAUAAUUUAUAGAGUACCUACUUGUUGUACUAAGAAUUUUACUUGUAUAACUCACUUAACUCUUGGGUAUACCCACCCAAUAGUAAGGACUGUUGGGUGGGUAUACCCGAUUUACAGAAGAAGAAACAGGUUCAGGGAAAUGAUGUGCUUCACAGUUUCUCUGUUUUGUAAUGGUGGGGUUGCACAUGGAGUUCUGGAAUAUUACUUAUGGGAGGUGUAGAAAUGAGAACACGUUUUGGACCAGUGCUCUCUUAUCUUGUUUGCUCUCUCCCAAUCCCUUUUGUAUAAAAAAGAGGCUGUAGCUUUAAGCAACAGUACCAGCAAAGAAAGAAAGAGGAGGAGAAAGUUGUGGGGGCAAGGAUGAUAGAGGGGAAUGAGCGGGGUUCUGUUGUCUCCAGGUUGGCUUCCUGGCAGGUAUUUGUGUAAAGGCUAUAAAAGUUCGAACGUGGUUCUCCUCGGUGACGCUGGGGAAAUAGAGAAGUUCUGCCUCUUACAAAAACUCUCCCCCCUGAAGCUAAAUUCAUGCAGAAAAAAUGAUGCAUCAGGGGUUUGGGGACAACUGGAAUGUACCACAAAGGAUUCUGGGAAGUUCUUAUAGUCCCUAAGCAUUUGGUAGAUCGUGUAAAUAGAGGCAGUUUGAGCAUUUCUGUUUUAUCCAAAGCUUUCCCCACCCCAGGUUCUCAAGAAAAAAAGAAAAGAAAAAAUGGAAUGAAGUUUAACAUUGGGCAGAAUAACUCUUUUUGAUUGAUUUAGUACUUCUCCAAAACUCCUACACUACCCUUCAUUCUUUAUCUGCUUCUUGCAGCUAGCUCCCUGGUGCACAGAGUGGAGAUGGGGGUGGGUGGGAAGAAUUCCGAUUGUUCCUGUUUAGCCAGGGUUCUGUGUAGGGAAAACGAUAGCAGGAAGGAGCUCUAGAUUCUAGUCUUUCCUCUGCUACCCAUCACCCUAUGUUUCUGCCCAAGACACACAUGUCUUUGCACCUCAGUUAUCCCUUCUGUAAAAGACUUUGGGAAUCCGAAGCCUGUGGAAGCUAAUAAUAAUCACAGCAACCACCAUCAUCAGUAUACCUGCCCGGCAUCCGGCCGAGGAUUGGAAGCACAUCGUUUUAUUUACUCAUUACCGCAGCCCAGCAAUCCAUUUUACGAAGGAGAAAACUGCAGCCCAGAGAAGACGAGUGGCUGCCUACAGUCAUAUAACUAAUAAAUACAGCUGAAGGGAGAGCAGAAGGUAACUGACUGCAAUAAAUGAGGACUGGCAGAAUGAGAAAGCAAUUAAUCACCUUAAUUUGUAGAAAUCAGAGAAGAUUUGAACCCAAAAAAAGCCAAAUUUAAACCAGACUGUCCUCCUCGACCUCUAACUCCAAACCACUUGGCUUCUCCCCCACCAUGCUGUCUGUGACUUUAGGAGAGUCUUUUCUGCUUGUAGCAACGGGUUUAUCAUUAAGGAAGGUAACAGCCCAGAUGUGGUUCAGCUGUUCAGCAGUCUAUGCUGUGUUUUCACUAAACCAUGGCCUAGUAAAUUUGCAAUUACAAUAUCUUUGGGUUGUUGCUUUUUAAUAAAUUCCUUUUAAUUGCA